GAUGAACGCUGACAGAAUGCUUAACACAUGCAAGUCUUUGGCGAAGCUGUGCUUGCACAGCCUAGCCAAGGCGGACGGGUGAGUAACGCGUAAGGAACUUGCCCUGCAGUCAGGGAUAACAGACGGAAACGACUGAUAAGACCUGGUAAAGUCAGGCGGACUCAUGUCCAGCCUGAUGAAAAGAGAAGCUGCAGGAGAGCCUUGCGUCCUAUUAGCUUGUUGGUGGGGUAACGGCCCACCAAGGCGAUGAUAGGUAGCCGGCCUGAGAGGGUGGACGGCCACAAGGGGACUGAGAUACGGCCCUUACUCCUACGGGAGGCAGCAGUGGGGAAUAUUGGACAAUGGGGGCAACCCUGAUCCAGCAAUUCUGUGUGCACGAUGAAGGUUUUCGGAUUGUAAAGUGCUUUCAGCAGGGAAGAAAAAAAUGACGGUACCUGCAGAAGAAGCGACGGCUAAAUACGUG
rnacentral:rRNA from 1 species